AUUGAACGCUGGCGGCAGGCCUAACACAUGCAAGUCGAACGAGUGGCGGACGGGUGAGUAAGGUCUGGGAAACGGCCCGAGGGAGGGGGAUCAGUACGGGAAACGGAAGCUAAUACCGCAUACCAUCGGAUAGGUCCAGAUGGGCUUAGCUAGUGGGAGGGGUAAAGGCUAACCAAGGCGACGAUCCCUAGCUGGUCUGAGAGGAUGAACAGCCACACUGGAACUGAGACCCGGUCCAGACUCCUACGGGAGGCAGCAGUGGGGAAUAUUGCACAAUGGGCGAAAGCCUGAUGCAGCCAUGCCGCGUGUAUGAAGAAGGCCUUCGGGUUGUAAAGUACUUUCAGCGGGGAGGCGUUACUCGCAGAAGAAGCACCGGCUAACUCCGUGCCAGCAGCCGCGGUAAUAC
rnacentral:rRNA from 1 species